ACAGCUCCGAAACCAACUGUGGCAAAUUCUAAGUGCAUUGUAAAAUGACAUUUUGCUUUAAAUUUUAAUUAGGCAAGACUCAGCAAGAGCAGAAGUCUAUUUGAAAAGAAAAAAAAUCAGCACCAUCAAAUAUGAAAGAUUAAAAAUAUGCUACUUGAGAAGGGGAAAAAGAAGAGUCUUACAAAGAACAAAACAAAACUCUAGACCUGGCGGCAGCUUUUGCAGUGCCAGUCAGGGGCACCGGUUUGAGUUGCCAAACAGAUGCAAGACAGCCCGGUGCAAGCAGUGAGGGCCUGUGUGGCUCAAGGCCACACCACUCCCCUUUCGGUCAAACAGUCAACCUCUUAUUUUUGCACAAGAGAUACUUUUAGACUACAUUCCAAUUUAUUUUUCUGUUUGGUUCAUUCCAGGAAAUAUAAAGUUUCAAAAAGCAGACGGAAAGGCGGAAGGAAAGCAAAGGCAGGGAAGACAUUCUGCCUAGCUUGAGAUUUGAAAAAAAAAAAAAAAAAAAAA
rnacentral:lncRNA from 1 species